rnacentral:lncRNA from 1 species
GUAGAAAGGUGCUGAAAUGACAAUGCUUCUGUUAAAAUAGCUGUGUAUAGAAUGUAACACUAUAAUUGCUUAUGGCUAAAAAAAUUAAGAAAUAUUGCAAUAAUGUAACUAUCUAGUGGGGUGAGUUGGUAGACUAUGGUCGCUUUAUUAAUGUGAUUUUGAAUAAUAUUUUAAUAGGAAAGAAAGGCUUACCAUGAAGAUUAUUAAGUAGAAAGUGUGAUAGCUAUCCUUGCUUUCGCUGCGAUGUUCCACCCUCCCACCCCCACUGCCUCGCAGGAGGAAAUACUUGUGUUUCUAUUUUCUCAUCUGGAAAAGUGAAGACUAGAAUUUUGGGAAACACUUUUGACAGCCUUUAUCAAUUGAACAUUUCAUAUUAAUCAAGGAGGAUAUGAUUUUGCUGGAGAACCAAUUGGUGCUGCUGUCACUUUUCACUCGGCAACAAGGACCCAGUGACUCCCAUGCUGGUGAUCCUGGGUGCCACAGCAUCUGGGCAGAGUAUAGAGAAGACAUGUUCCCUGAUUUUAACUGAAAGCAGUGGUUCCCGUUUAUUAUAGGAAACACUGGCAUUUGUCAUUUUUCCAAUAUUUGGAGCUUGCUGCCUUAAUAAAUGCACAUAUCAGAUGAUGCUCUCUCCCUGUCUGAUGGGCGGAUGCUGUUGGGCAGAAGAAGGUCACAGUGAUGUUAAAUUUGCUGCUGAGCAAAGGAUCAAAGUGUAAAUGGAAUCCUGAAAGCUGGGAAAUGAUUCCAAAGCACAGAGGCAACAAUCCUAAACACUUGAGGUCUUUGGACGGAAGUGGUGCUUCAGAACUUUCAAGAACCAUGGCUCUGCUGCCCUGGUAGGAACUUUAUAUUGAGAAGACACAAAGCAUCUGUUACAUAAACAGGGUGAAUAGCUACAGGGUUCCCAGAUUGUGAAGGAAGCAGCGAACCCGCUUCCUCCUCACUAGCCAGCGUAACUGACAGCACUUAGCUCCCUGCAUCCUUGCUGCCUCGGUUCUGAAGGGAAGCAUUGUGGUGCGGCCUUCCUGACACUGAGGUGCUGACAACAGGCAGACCUAGGCAAGGAGUGUCAUCAGGAAGAGAGCAGAGGAAGGAAGCCUGGUGCUGUGAGAAUGAAGAUAAUAAAGGCAAUUAUUAAUACUUCUAUAGUGUUGUUUGCAUAUUUAUCUCACUGAUCC